rnacentral:tRNA from 1 species
GGUUCCAUGGUGUAACGGUCAGCACUCUGGACUUUGAAUCAAGCAAUCCGAGGUCAAAUCUAGGUGGAAUCU